AUUGAACGCUGGCGGCAGGCCUAACACAUGCAAGUCGAACGAGUGGCGGACGGGUGAGUAAUGUCUGGGAAACUGCCCGAUGGAGGGGGAUAACUACUGGAAACGGUAGCUAAUACCGCAUACCAUCGGAUGUGCCCAGAUGGGAUUAGCUAGUAGGUGGGGUAAUGGCUCACCUAGGCGACGAUCCCUAGCUGGUCUGAGAGGAGGACCAGGCAAACUGGAACUUGGACACGGGCCAGACGCCUAAGGGAGGCAGCAGUGGGGAAUAUUGGACAAUGGGCGCAAGGCUGAUGGAGCCAUGCCGCGUGUAUGAAGAAGGGCUUCGGGUUGUAAAGUAAUUUCAGCGAGGAGGCGUUACUCGCAGAAGAAGCACCGGCUAACUCCGUGCCAGCAGCCGCGGUAAUAC
rnacentral:rRNA from 1 species